GUUGGUUUGGUUGUGUGCAGAUCUUAAAGUGUGACCGAAUGUUCUUUUUUUUUUUUUUUUUUUUUUUCUGGCAAAAACAACAAAAGCAUUUAAUAGUGUUGGAAACAACAGUUACAAUCAUGUUUACCUUCGACUGGAAUGACUUUAAACGAACUUGAAAAUGAAAUGUAAACCGAUCCGGAACACGACAUGAGGUUGUGACGGUGAUCGAGAUAACAGAAAUAAUAAGCUUACAAAUGUUACUUUUAACAAGCUUGUGUGUGUUGGCCUCUUUAUUUCUCCUUCUUUCUUCUCUCUGACCAUGAAAACCAAGAGGAACCAAAUCCAAGACAAAUCCUGGAGCUGGCAGCUUGAGGCAGCUCCCUGUAGCAGAUAAACACUUCAGUCAUCAGACCAACAUCUGGAUGAGAAACAGGACAGGUCACAGGUGUAGCUGUGUGCAGGACCAGCUGAUGGAAGUGAUCCCAACGUGCAACAAGGAAACAUUUAACUAAAACAGCUGUUGACCUGCAGUAACUGUGGCCCCCGGAGUGAUUUAGUUGAAUAACUCAGGUAUAUAUUUUUCUCUCCAAUUCAAAAUGUGAAUCCAGAUGUAGUUUCUCUCAGUUCAUCCAUCCAUCCAUUUUCUGUACACGCUUCUUCCUUUUCAGGGUCGCGUGGGUCACUGGUGCCCAUAUCCAGCAGUCACAGUGCGAGGGGCGGGGUACACCCUGGACAGGUCGCAAGUCCAUCACAAGGCCAGUUCUCUCAGUUCAAUCAAACUGAAACUUGUCAGGCCCUCUCAUUCUCAGUUGAUCAACAUUAGGCAUCAUUUUCUCACACAAGACAAAGACAGAAACACCAAACUAUUUGCAGGCAGAAAAAGAUGGAUUCCUCUCUGAGGUGAGCUUCUGCCUCAAGAAUCUUGGCGUUUUGUUUUAAGGGACGAGUGGAGCGUGAGAUUGACAGAUAGAUGCAGCUUCUGCAGUAUUGUGGACAUUGUACCGGUCUGUUGUGGUGAAGUGGGCUGUAAGGUGAAGCUCUCUGUUUACCGUUUGGUCAACGUUCCUACCCUCACCUGUGCUCAUGAACUUUGGGUCGUGACUGAAAGAACAAGAUCCUGAAUCCAGACGUCUGGAAUGAGUUUUUUCUGCAGGGUGUCUGGACUCUCAUUAGCUGUGUUUCCAUUACAAAUGUGCACAAAACUUUGUUG